rnacentral:rRNA from 1 species
UACGGAGGAUCCGAGCGUUAUCCGGAAUCAUUGGGUUUAAAGGGUCCGUAGGCGGUUUUGUAAGUCAGUGGUGAAAUCCGGCAGCUCAACUGUCGAACUGCCAUUGAUACUGCAGGACUUGAAUUACUGUGAAGUAACUAGAAUAUGUAGUGUAGCGGUGAAAUGCUUAGAUAUUACAUGGAAUACCAAUUGCGAAGGCAGGUUACUAACAUUAUAUUGACGCUGAUGGACGAAAGCGUGGGGAGCGAACAGG